GAGGUGUGCAGUUGUGUGAUUUGUUUUAAUUUGUCUAUUUAGUGUUUCUUCGGGUUUAAAUGUGUAAUAAUAGUGGUUUAUUAACUGUUUAAUAUCUGUGAAAGUGCACAAACGUGGGAAAAUGAAACAAAGCCGCUGUACGUAACUUCUCGGUUUCCUCCAAAAAGUCCACUGAGAUCUUAGUAAAUGACCACCACCAUUUUACUGAGAUUAUAUUUCAUUCCAUAUCAUCUCAUCUCAUUUCAUUUCAUCCCUUUUGAUUAAUGUCUCAAAUUAAUCAUCUUCAUUUCAUUUCACUCCAUAAUAUCACAUUUCAUUUCACUCCAUAAUAUCAUUUUUCAUAAAAAUAUGAAUAUAAAUUAAAAUAAGACACGACUUAAAGGUCUCAGUUACCAGGUCAUAAAAUCCAUUACAAAUAGGAAUAAUUCCAGCGCACCCUGGCGGCCGUAGAUUACCAUUCUCGAAUAUUUAUAGUCUGUGGCAUGUCACUUUUUACAUCGAAAAAAGUCAGGAUCGAAAUUUUUGAGCGAGCCAUAAUUUGUGGUGAUAAAAUUAAUAAUUUCAAGUAGAUUAAUUGUUGUAAUUGAUAUAACUAGUUAAUAUCAGUAAAAUAAAGUUGUGAGUGAUUGAUAUAAUAUACAAUUUAGGAACCAGAAGUACCGUAGAAUUAAAUAAAAUUUCGCAACCUCAAAAAACUGUUCUGCUCACAGUAAACACAGUCGGUAGUCUGGCGCUCCGUUUACAACGGGAUUUUUGAACGGAACUUGGCGCCAGAUUCUACCGAAUCUGUGGAUAUUUUAAAUGAUAUGCAUGAAAAAUGUUCUUCAUACGAGACGAGAUUCAGCAAAAUUUAUGUUCGCUUACCGAGAAGACAGGUGUCUCCGACAGUGUUACCACCAACGAAAAUAAUAAAUUGUUGCAUAAAAUUAAUACAUACGUACGUACGAAUAUGGGAGUGAGAUAUUCUUUUUACUCGAAACCUAAUCGUAAAGGACGCCUGGCUUCCGCAAAAUUUUGUUUACCUGUCCUGGUGAAAUGGGAAAGGCCUCCGGGACAACAAUAAUAAUUCAAAUCCAAAUAAAAUGUUUGUUUGAAUUUACAUAUAUGCUUAAUAGCGUUUAAUAUUCAACUAGAUUCUCUGUAAUGCCGCGUUUGUUUAACAAAUUCUCUUAGAACUCAUCACUUCGUGAUUAUAUCGCGAAAUUGUAAUCACAUCUCGGAUAUAAUUUUAAAGAGUAUAAUAAACCCUGUAAUACCGCUCGUUUAUUAUUAAUUGAUAGUGUUAAUAGUCUAAUAGAGUUAAUAGUCUAAUAGAGUUAAUAGUCUAAUAGAGUUAAUAGUCUUAGAAGCUCGUGGUUUUAAAACGAUUCGGUUGUGCCAGGAUUCAAAUACUUCAAUAAGUAAGAACGAUUUUAGUGUAGUGUGAAAACAUGCCUUCAAAUGUUAUUAAUGUCCGUACUGUUUUCUAAGUAGUGUUAAUACAUAUUGUGAACUCGCACGAAUACUUACCGCGGUCCAACUUAUUUAAGAAAUAGAGAACUUUUAAUGCCUACAAGGGUAAUAAAAAAAAAUUAUUUAGCUUUACAAUUUAUUUAUUAUUAUUUAUUUAUUAAGUUGCACCAACAAAGUGAUCAUCAAUACAAAACAUUGAACAAUUGACAAAAGUUCAUGGCAGAUGUCACCUCAAUUAUAGGUGCAAUCGACAGUGCAUUAACAACAAAAAUAAAAAAAAAUACAUAACUAAGAUUUGAUUACAUUUGAUUGAUUGCUUAAGAUUAAUUUAUAUUUAAUUGGGAAAUGAUCCGCGACAGAUUAUUCCUGUACGUUGUGAGACAAUUAGAGAAAACUUCUAUUUUACUUAAAAUUAGUUCUGCGCAAUCGGACAACUCCGAUGGAACAUUGACGGAGACCGCGCUACCGUGGACAUUAUUUAAGGAAUUGCAAUAAAGAUGCAAUUAGAUUGAAAUUGAUAUCGCGGUUUCUACUAUACUGCGAUCACCGCUACAACCACCAUUUAUUUACAGGCAAUACAAAAGAAAUGAGAAGAAAUAGAGAAUUUAGAUCCCAAAUUUUUUGCCGGCUCUUCAAUCUUGUUAUCUAUAGUCUCAAGUUAGAACGAGAUUGCGAGCUCGCAUACAGAACUGCAUUAAUAAAAGUGAACAAAAUGAGAUUAAACGGGAAAAACAAGCAGUAUUUUUUGCAGUAUACAGUUAUGCGCAAUAAUCGCUUCGGUAACUCGACAACAACCGGGGCACUUUUGACCCCGAUGCGCCGGUGAAGGGUUGCGGAAAAUAAGAAUCUAGAUGUGUAGGCAGUUGAACAUACGGCCCACCUAAUAGUAAGCAACGACCGUCGCUACGGACAUCAACGAUUGUCAGGGGCACAGAAAAACCGCCAAUUAUAAUGAGAUACUACUGCCAUCUAUCAAUUUUUAUGGGAACAACUUAGACUGUUGAAAUUAUGGAAUGAGUGCAACAGUUACUAACGCAUCUAACAUCUGUAUUAUAUUAUAAUAUGAAUGUCACACAAUAAUAUAGAGAAGUAAUGAAAUGUUUAGCAAUUAUAAAAUUUGGUGAGCCACAAAAAAACAGCAUUGAAAUCAUUUGGUCGGCGUACAAAGAUUUUGUUUGCAAUUAAAAAAAUCAGGCAGCAAUCCUUGUUGGAACGAACAGCAGAAGAUUUUUAUUAUUUAUGUAUAGUCUUAGUAUAAUUAAUGGCUAUAGUGUCUAAUGUAUAGUCUACAUGCUGACGGUCAUUAUUAUUAUUCACAUAAAUAGCUGUUUCUUUGUAUAUUAUUUAUAUUUAUUUUUGAUAAAUCAUUGUGAAUAAAAUGAAGUUGAUAAUGUAGUUUUUUUAUUGUUAUCAAUAAAAAAUGUAUACCCGAAUAA